AGCACUAAGUCACUUUGUCUUUAUGGCAAAUGUGAGAUGCAGUGUAUGGAAUGUCAAAUUUCUAGUAUGAGAAAUUAACGAUUUAAGUCCUUCUUAAAUGAGGCCAUUUACCCAAAGAGGGUGCCAGGCCCGUAUAACGUUAAUGAUUACUAGAUGACAUUUCCAAAGAGUCGUGUUGCUUGAUAGUGCAGCACUAAGUGGGUGGUAAACUCCAUCUAAAACUAAAUAUAACCAUGAGACCGAUAGUAAACAAGUACCGUGAGGGAAAGUUGAAAAGAACUCUGAAUAGAGAGUUAAAUAGUACGUGAAACUGCUUAGAGGUUAAGCCCGAUGAACCUGAAUAUCCAUUAUGGAAAAUUCAUCAUUAAGAUUUUAAUAUUAAUAAUAUUGAAAUAAUGGUGUGCAUUUUUUCCAUAUAAGGACAUUGUAAUCUAUUAACAUAAAAUGAAUAUUUAUCAAAAGAUCAUUAGCUAAAGUUUAUUCAAAUUAUUUUGCUUGCAUUUUAACAUAGAAUAAAUGCUUUUGAUUUGAUAAAGUGUUGAUAGAUUUAUUAUAUAUACUGCUUGAAUAUUUUAUAUUCUAUAAUGGCAUAUUGAUCAAUGAUCUUUGUGUUUAUAAUUAUAUGCAGUUAUAUGAUUAACAAUGCGAAAGAUUCAGGAUACCUUCGGGACCCGUCUUGAAACACGGACCAAGGAGUCUAACAUAUUUGCAAGUUAUUGGGAAUUAAAAACCUAAUAGCGAAAUUAACAUAACUUAUAUAAUGGGAUUAGUUUUUAGUACUAUUUAUAGUNUAUUAAUUCAAUCCCGGGGCGUUCUAUACAGUUAUGUAUAAUAAUAUUUAUAUUAUUUAUACCUCUAACUAGAGCGUACCUUGAGCAUAUAUGCUGUGACCCGAAAGAUGGUGAACUAUACUUGA
rnacentral:rRNA from 1 species